UACGUAGGGUGCGAGCGUUGUCCGGAAUUACUGGGCGUAAAGAGCUCGUAGGUGGUUUGUCGCGUUGUUCGUGAAAACCGGGGGCUUAACCCUCGGCGUGCGGGCGAUACGGGCAGACUUGAGUACUGCAGGGGAGACUGGAAUUCCUGGUGUAGCGGUGGAAUGCGCAGAUAUCAGGAGGAACACCGGUGGCGAAGGCGGUUCUCUGGGCCUUACCUGACACUGAGGAGCGAAAGCGUGGGGAGCGAACAGG
rnacentral:rRNA from 1 species